AUAGGGGAGCCGGAGGGAAACCGAGUCUUAAUUGGGCGUUAAGUUGCAGGGUAUAGACCCGAAACCCGGUGAUCUAGCCAUGGGCAGGUUGAAGGUUGGGUAACACUAACUGGAGGACCGAACCGACUAAUGUUGAAAAAUUAGCGGAUGACCUGUGGCUGGGGGUGAAAGGCCAAUCAAACCGGGAGAUAGCUGGUUCUCCCCGAAAGCUAUUUAGGUAGCGCCUCGUGAAUUCAUCUCCGGGGGUAGAGCACUGUUUCGGCUAGGGGGCCAUCCCGGCUUACCAACCCGAUGCAAACUGCGAAUACCGGAGAAUGUUAUCACGGGAGACACACGGCGGGUGCUAACGUCCGUCGUGAAGAGGGAAACAACCCAGACCGCCAGCUAAGGUCCCAAAGUCAUGGUUAAGUGGGAAACGAUGUGGGAAGGCCCAGACAGCCAGGAUGUUGGCUUAGAAGCAGCCAUCAUUUAAAGAAAGCGUAAUAGCUCACUGGUCGAGUCGGCCUGCGCGGAAGAUGUAACGGGGCUAAACCAUGCACCGAAGCUGCGGCAGCGAACGUAUCACUUAAAGCGAUUCAGCGGGUUACGAUUGACGGAGCGAAGCGACGUCAAAGCGUAUACAAAGUCGAGUCGGUUUAAGGAUACGUUCGUUGGGUAGGGGAGCGUUCUGUAAGCCUGUGAAGGUGGCCUGUGAGGGUUGCUGGAGGUAUCAGAAGUGCGAAUGCUGACAUAAGUAACGAUAAAGCGGGUGAAAAGCCCGCUCGCCGGAAGACCAAGGGUUCCUGUCCAACGUUAAUCGGGGCAGGGUGAGUCGACCCCUAAGGCGAGGCCGAAAGGCGUAGUCGAUGGGAAACGGGUUAAUAUUCCCGUACUUGGUGUUACUGCGAAGGGGGGACGGAGAAGGCUAUGUUGGCCGGGCGACGGUUGUCCCGGUUUAAGCGUGUAGGUGUGUGUUCCAGGUAAAUCCGGUUCACUUUAACACUGAGGCGUGAUGACGAGGCACUACGGUGCUGAAGCAACAAAUGCCCUGCUUCCAGGAAAAGCCUCUAAGCAUCAGGUAACAUCAAAUCGUACCCCAAACCGACACAGGUGGUCAGGUAGAGAAUACCAAGGCGCUUGAGAGAACUCGGGUGAAGGAACUAGGCAAAAUGGUGCCGUAACUUCGGGAGAAGGCACGCUGACACGUAGGUGAAGUGAUUUACUCACGGAGCUGAAGUCAGUCGAAGAUACCAGCUGGCUGCAACUGUUUAUUAAAAACACAGCACUGUGCAAACACGAAAGUGGACGUAUACGGUGUGACGCCUGCCCGGUGCCGGAAGGUUAAUUGAUGGGGUCAGCGCAAGCGAAGCUCCUGAUCGAAGCCCCGGUAAACGGCGGCCGUAACUAUAACGGUCCUAAGGUAGCGAAAUUCCUUGUCGGGUAAGUUCCGACCUGCACGAAUGGCGUAAUGAUGGCCAGGCUGUCUCCACCCGAGACUCAGUGAAAUUGAACUCGCUGUGAAGAUGCAGUGUACCCGCGGCAAGACGGAAAGACCCCGUGAACCUUUACUAUAGCUUGACACUGAACAUUGAGCCUUGAUGUGUAGGAUAGGUGGGAGGCUUUGAAGUGUGGACGCCAGUCUGCAUGGAGCCGACCUUGAAAUACCACCCUUUAAUGUUUGAUGUUCUAACGUGGACCCGUAAUCCGGGUUGCGGACAGUGUCUGGUGGGUAGUUUGACUGGGGCGGUCUCCUCCUAAAGAGUAACGGAGGAGCACGAAGGUUGGCUAAUCCUGGUCGGACAUCAGGAGGUUAGUGCAAUGGCAUAAGCCAGCUUGACUGCGAGCGUGACGGCGCGAGCAGGUGCGAAAGCAGGUCAUAGUGAUCCGGUGGUUCUGAAUGGAAGGGCCAUCGCUCAACGGAUAAAAGGUACUCCGGGGAUAACAGGCUGAUACCGCCCAAGAGUUCAUAUCGACGGCGGUGUUUGGCACCUCGAUGUCGGCUCAUCACAUCCUGGGGCUGAAGUAGGUCCCAAGGGUAUGGCUGUUCGCCAUUUAAAGUGGUACGCGAGCUGGGUUUAGAACGUCGUGAGACAGUUCGGUCCCUAUCUGCCGUGGGCGCUGGAGAACUGAGGGGGGCUGCUCCUAGUACGAGAGGACCGGAGUGGACGCAUCACUGGUGUUCGGGUUGUCAUGCCAAUGGCACUGCCCGGUAGCUAAAUGCGGAAGAGAUAAGUGCUGAAAGCAUCUAAGCACGAAACUUGCCCCGAGAUGAGUUCU
rnacentral:rRNA from 1 species